rnacentral:misc_RNA from 1 species
AAGUCGUAACAAGGUUUCCGUAGGUGAACCUGCGGAAGGAUCAUUAACUGUCGACCAAUAUGUGUCGGUCUAGAGGCAUGGAAAUUUUAACAGCUUGGGUACGCCCACUUUUAAAAGAGUACAUUCCUUUCUACCCUUGUUCUUUUGCGCACUUAUGUUUCCUCGGCAGGUUAGCCUGCCGAUUGGACAAUUAUAACACCCUUUAUUUCUCAAUCAGCGUCUGAAAAUAAUAAAUAUUUACAACUUUCAACAACGGAUCUCUUGGUUCUG